CAACGGGUACACAAGUGUUGCUAAUCAAAGUACGGCAUUUUUCUCGCCCACGUCUAGCGACACCCGCCAUCAGUUAACAACAAGAAUAAUUCCGACUUCCGCUUUCAAAUUCCCAAUAUUUUGGUUUACAGCAAACAGAAGUCAGAACGGAUUUAAAUUGCGGAGAAACGAUCGAUUUCUGUAAGUCAUGUAAUGAUUGUCUUCUUCAAUGCAGUAAUGUGAAAAAGGGUAUCAGUAGCAACGCCCGUACUAUAGACAAUUAAGGU